rnacentral:rRNA from 1 species
UACGUAGGGUGCAAGCGUUGUCCGGAAUUAUUGGGCGUAAAGAGCGUGUAGGCGGCCCGAUUAGUCCGCUGUGAAAGUCCAGGGCUCAACCCUGGAAUGCCGGUGGAUACUGUCGGGCUAGAGUCCGGAAGGGGCGAGUGGAAUUCCUGGUGUAGUGGUGAAAUACGUAGAUAUCAGGAGGAAUACCGGUGGCGAAGGCGGCUAUCUGGCCAUGUACUGACGCUGAGAUACGAAAGCGUGGGGAGCAAACAGG